AUUGAACGCUGGCGGCAGGCCUAACACAUGCAAGUCGAGCGGAUGAAGGGAGCUUGCUCCUGGAUUCAGCGGCGGACGGGUGAGUAAUGCCUAGGAAUCUGCCUGGUAGUGGGGGAUAACGUCCGGAAACGGGCGCUAAUACCGCAUACGUCCUGAGGGAGAAAGUGGGGGAUCUUCGGACCUCACGCUAUCAGAUGAGCCUAGGUCGGAUUAGCUAGUUGGUGGGGUAAAGGCCUACCAAGGCGACGAUCCGUAACUGGUCUGAGAGGAUGAUCAGUCACACUGGAACUGAGACACGGUCCAGACUCCUACGGGAGGCAGCAGUGGGGAAUAUUGGACGAUGGGCGAAAGCCUGAUCCAGCCAUGCCGCGCGUGUGAAGAAGGUCUUCGGAUUGUAAAGCACUUUAAGUUGGGAGGAAGGGCAGUAAGUUAAUACCUUGCUGUUUUGACGUUACCAACAGAAUAAGCACCGGCUAACUUCGUG
rnacentral:rRNA from 1 species